ensembl:misc_RNA Metazoa_SRP Metazoan signal recognition particle RNA
GCCGGGCGCGGUGGCGCGUGCCUGUAGUCCCAGCUACUAGGGAGGCUGAGGCUGGAGGAUCGCUUGAGUCCAGGAGUUCUGGGCUGUAGUGCGCUAUGCCGAUCGGGUGUCCGCACUAAGUUCGGCAUCAAUAUGGUGACCUCCCGGGAGCGGGGGACCACCAGGUUGCCUAAGGAGGGGUGAACCGGCCCAGGUCGGAAACGGAGCAGGUCAAAACUCCCGUGCUGAUCAGUAGUGGGAUCGCGCCUGUGAAUAGCCACUGCACUCCAGCCUGGGCAACAUAGCGAGACCCUGUCUCUU